rnacentral:rRNA from 1 species
GCAGGCCUAACACAUGCAAGUCGAACGGCAGCACAGAGGAGCUUGCUCCUUGGGUGGCGAGUGGCGGACGGGUGAGGAAUACAUCGGAAUCUACUCUGUCGUGGGGGAUAACGUAGGGAAACUUACGCUAAUACCGCAUACGACCUACGGGUGAAAGCAGGGGAUCUUCGGACCUUGCGCGAUUGAAUGAGCCGAUGUCGGAUUAGCUAGUUGGCGGGGUAAAGGCCCACCAAGGCGACGAUCCGUAGCUGGUCUGAGAGGAUGAUCAGCCACACUGGAACUGAGACACGGUCCAGACUCCUACGGGAGGCAGCAGUGGGGAAUAUUGGACAAUGGGCGCAAGCCUGAUCCAGCCAUACCGCGUGGGUGAAGAAGGCCUUCGGGUUGUAAAGCCCUUUUGUUGGGAAAGAAAUCCAUCUGGUUAAUACCCGGGUGGGAUGACGGUACCCAAAGAAUAAGCACCGGCUAACUUCGUGCCAGCAGCCGCGGUAAUACGAAGGGUGCAAGCGUUACUCGGAAUUACUGGGCGUAAAGCGUGCGUAGGUGGUCGUUUAAGUCCGUUGUGAAAGCCCUGGGCUCAACCUGGGAACUGCAGUGGAUACUGGGCGACUAGAAUGUGGUAGAGGGUAGCGGAAUUCCUGGUGUAGCAGUGAAAUGCGUAGAGGUCAGGAGGAACAUCCAUGGCGAAGGCAGCUACCUGGACCAACAUUGACA